GCCUGGGUGGCUCAGUCGGUUGAGCGUCCGACUUCGGCUCAGGUCACGAUCUCACGGUCCGUGAGUUCGAGCCCCGCAUCAGGCU
rfam:Felis catus isolate Cinnamon breed Abyssinian chromosome C2, whole genome shotgun sequence.